GCCCGAUUAGCUCAGCUGGUUAGAGCGUCGUACUAAUAUCAUUUCUUGUCAAGAGAGAUCAUAUUUGGUAAAUGCGAAGGUCAACAGUUCAAUCCUGUUAUUGGGCA